CGUGUCGCGCAUAUCUGCAUAUCAAUAAGCGGAGGAAAAGAAACUAACAAGGAUUCCCUUAGUAACGGCGAGUGAAGCGGGAAGAGCUCAAAUUUGAAAUCUUCAAGGUUCUACCUUGACGAAUUGUAGUUUAAAGAAGUGUUUUCUGUUAGAUGAGUAGCAAAAGUUCCUUGGAAUGGGACAUCAUAGAGGGUGAGAAUCCCGUAUUUGGUUAUUCAUUCUAGCUUUGUGAUACACUUUCAAAGAGUCGGAUUGUUUGGGAAUGCAGUCCAAAAUGGGUGGUAAAUUUCAUCUAAAGCUAAAUAUUGGCGAGAGACCGAUAGCGAACAAGUACCGUGAGGGAAAGAUGAAAAGAACUUUGAAAAGAGAGUUAAACAGUACGUGAAAUUGUCAAAAGGGAAGCGUUUGACACCAGUGUUGUUUUUCCGAAAAUCAAUUACGAAUGGCUUGAUUUUGUGUUGUAUUGACCUUAUCAGCUUUCUUCACUUUUUUCGAGUCUUUCUUAAUGCACUUUUCGGUUAACAAGUCAACAUCAAUUUCUUUUGUUGUAAAAGAGUAUUCGGAAGGUGGCUUUCCUUUCGGAGAAAGUGUUUAUAGCCCUAUACUUCUACAAUCGGAGAGAUUGAGGUCUGCAGCGUAGAUCCUUCGGGGUUAGAUACAUUUGUGCUAAGUUGUAGCUUUUCAUAGACAACUUGUUGACUAUGCUUAGUCAUGCGGCUUACUCGCUUGUGCUAUUUUACCUACGCUUAGGAUGUUGACGAUCAGCUGAGCGCGUGCUCGACUCUAUACAUGACUCUGUGCAUAUCAAUAAGCGGAGGAAAAGGCUGCUGAACUGAACGACCGCUACCUACGCUUAGGAUGUUGACGAUCAGCUGAGCGCG
rnacentral:rRNA from 1 species